GGAUUAUGUGUUAUGGAUUGUC
rnacentral:siRNA from 1 species